rnacentral:sRNA from 1 species
UGCUCACCGUGCGAGGAGGCCCCAGUAGCUGGGGCUAUGUCAGCCAGGCCUUGCUUUUCCACCAGGUGCGUAAGUAUCUGCUCCGGCUGGACGUCCGGAAGGAUCACGUGAAGUUCUGGCGGCCCCAGCUGCUGCUCCUGGUGGGGAACCCCCGGGGUUCCCUGCCUCUGCUGCGGUUGGCCAACCAGCUUAAGAAGGGGGGGCUCUACGUGCUGGGCCACGUCACUCUGGGAGACCUCGACUCCCUACCCUCGGACCCUGUACAGCCGCAGUACGGGGCAUGGCUCAGCCUGGUGGACCGUGCCCAGGUGAAGGCUUUUGUGGAUCUAACCCUCUCACCCUCCGUGCGCCAGGGGGCUCAGCAUCUGCUGCGAAUCUCUGGCCUCGAGUCUGGGACGCUAUUACCCUGGGGAUUCAGGCCAUGAGCUUGGCUGAUCAGGGUGUCUGGUUUGCAUAACCGAGUCAAACUCGCAUCCCCUACCAUGAAAGAGAUGCCCCGCUAGAAGCUGGGAGUGGACAGCAUCCUACUCUCUAUAGAAUUGGAGUGCUCAUUAGUGGCAAGAAUCCUAAUGCGAACUUUGCCUGUUUAAGUGGAGGAGAUUAGUCACCGAGAUAAUAAAAUAAAUGCAUGUGAAAGUGUUUAGGAAAAAUGAAAA